rnacentral:rRNA from 1 species
AACGAACGCUGGCGGCAUGCCUAACACAUGCAAGUCGAACGAGACCUUCGGGUCUAGUGGCGCACGGGUGCGUAACGCGGGGGAACCUGCCCUUAGGUUCGGGAUAACUCCCCGGAAGGGGUGCUAAUACCGGAUAAUGUCUUCGGACCAAAGAUUUAUCGCCCUUGGAUGGGCCCGCGGUGCAUUAGCUAGUUGGUAGGGUAAAAGGCUACCAAGGCGACGAUACAUAGCUGGUCUGAGAGGAAGAUCAGCCACACUGGGACUGAGACACGGCCCAGAAUCCUACGGGAGGCAGCAGUGGGGAAUCUUGGAAAGCGGCGGAAAGGAUGAUGCAGCAAUGCCGCGUGAGUGCUGAAGGCCGUAGGGUUGUAAAGCUGUUUUACCCGGGAUGAUAAUGACAGUACCGGAAGAAUAAGCACCGGCUAACUCCGUG